CUUAAAUGUUAAGAAGGACGAAAGAUCGAUCUCCCGCAGAUCCUUCCAAGUGACAAGGUGUAUGAAUGUAUUCUGUUUCGGAGCAGUGACAUCAAGUCAAAUCAUGCUGCGGUCUCGACUUCACCUCUGUCUGCUUCAGUUGGACGUGAAAUAUUGAUGGUCUCAAAACAGUGCCAGGAUACUCUGGCUUUUAAUAAUGGACAGUAUCCUAGCAGGUGGUCUGCAUAUCAAUCUGUAGCUGCAGGUCCAUUGCUUGCAUUGCCAGCAUCCUCAUUAACUCCUUUUCAAUUAUCAGUCUUUGGCAGACGUACUUUCCUCCACAAAAAGACUGUGUUGGUGCAAGAAACUUGGGUGCUUCCACAUAUUUUCCUUGUAAUUCUUUGUUAUCAAUUGCUGCUUUAGAACAUUAAGCACCCUCGUUACUAUCUCCGAGAGAGACACCUGCUCAACAGUUCACUGAAUAAUUUGAUUUUCAAGCCACGAAUGAGGAGUUCGAGAAGGACGUGGGAUUGUCUUGGAAAAGCAAAGCAAAGCAAAGGGAACUUUCAGAGUUUACAGUGAACAACGCGAUUAUUUUUAUCAUGGGGGAGAAAGACAUUGGACGCUACCUGGUGCUAAGGUAUGGCUUGGAAUAAUAUCAUACAUUUCAUGGUUUACGUUCCUCUUCUGUUGCGUUUCUCUAUGCUGCCUGCAUAUAACAAGAAUGUAUUCUAAUGCAAUUUCCAAUUCUCUUGAACGCAGAUCAAGGAAUAGACACAACCGGUUAUCUAGGCCAAUGAAAUUUGGCGCUGAGGUUUUGUCUUAUUUUGUUUAUCUGGUAUAUUUCUGCUCUGAUGGCAGGUAACUUAAAGAGAUUCUUUAGAAUAAAACGGCUUUAUGCAGACAAGCGGCGACAUUCCACAAAUGCGCGGCAACGUUGGCUAUGGCAUUAGAAGUGGUGAGAAUUUCUGGGUCUCAAAUAACUUGAGACGGGGAUACAAUUAUGGUGGGAGAAGCUCUUAGCUGAGUAAUAAUACUUCGCUGCUAGCUGGACUCACAAGUUUUUUUUCCUGUUGUACUAGAUUGGGCUAAACAAAUUGCUGGACCUCGGUAGUAGGCCAGCAAGUUUGGGAUCAUUCCUUAAUAUCUACUUCCAACUUGCCAGUAACUCUCAAU